GCCCAGGUGGUGGAAUUGGCAGACACGCUAGCUUCAGGAGCUAGUGGGAGCAAUCCCGUGGGAGUUCAAAUCUCCCCUUGGGCA
rnacentral:tRNA from 1 species